AAUAAGGAUUUUAGUUCUUAGCUCUAUCUCUUUAUCUUUAAUAUUAAAGGGCAUAUUCAUCAGCCCACACUUACAUUUUUUUAGAGGAAGUACAAAAGGCACUGUGCUAGGGAUUUUUUCUUUCUCUGUCUUUCUUUUUUUUUUUUUUUUCAAGUCUAGUAAAAAUAAAAUCCAGCCAAUGGCAAGCAUUCAUGUAAUAGGAUGUAUUUCCAGGAGAUAAAACUAGUAAAUUUAUCCUGAUAGGAUUGCAGUUUACAGUAAAACUUUGACCAUGGACAACUUAAAUAGCAUCACCUAUGAUGAAGUCAAAGACAUCAAAACAUUCUCGUUGUCAGAUGAGAUGAUGUUUGCAUCUUCUGGACUCACACCAUUUGAAAUUAGUGAACCAAAGAAUAAGAAAAAGACUUGCCGAUGCUGUUUUUGGUCUGUAGUACUCAUAAUAUAUUUGGUUAUGCUCACAGGAGGCAUGGGACUGUUGGCUUAUGAAGUCUAUACGAUGCACAAAAUUAUAAAUAAUAUGAAAGAUGGCGGAACAGCAAAUAAAGUGAAUCAUCUUGCCAAUGCCUCCAUUGAGAAUGAGAUCAUUUUUGGAAUCAAUGCUGAGAAUGGUCAAGAAAACUGGAUCCACAAUUUAAAACAAGAAUUUCAUGUAAUCAAAUUGAGCAACCAAUAUUUACAAUGGGUAAUGGCGAACAUUACAGACCAAAUUAAAAGCAACAUGACUCAAGGAAUUGCAGGACCUCCUGGACCUAAAGGAGAAAGAGGAAUUCCAGGAAGAAGAGGUGACCGAGGAGAUAAAGGUGAAAAAGGAGACAUUGGAAUCAAAGGGAACCCAGGAACAAAUGGGAUCGGACUUUCUGGACCCAAAGGAGAACCUGGUGUUCCAGGAAUACAAGGAUAUGCUGGUUCCCCAGGAGAAAAAGGUGAUACAGGAGCCAUGGGACCAAUAGGGAUAAAAGGAGAUCAAGGUUUACCAGGUUUUCCUGGCCUAAAUGGUGAAAAGGGUUCAAAAGGGGAUCUUGGGCCUGCUGGACUAACAGGAGAACCAGGAAUGAAAGGAGAAACGGGGGAGAUGGGAUUACACGGCUUACCGGGAUCAAAAGGAGAACCUGGUGAAAGUGGAAUCAUGGGCCCAAGAGGAUUAACUGGUCAUAAAGGAGAGAAGGGAGAGAAGGGGAAUGAAGGCUCGCCAGGUCCUCAAGGUUUCCAAGGUGCUCCUGGAGUAGACGGAGAUAAAGGUGCUGCUGGAAAUGUAGGUCCACCAGGAACUCGUGGCCCAAAGGGUGAACAAGGGGAGAAAGGAGCAGCAAGUCAAGUUCCAGGCCCACGAGGACAAAAAGGUGAUCAAGGUCAAAAAGGUAGUAAGGGAGAUACAGGAUCACCGGGAACACAAGGUUCUAAAGGUGAAAGGGGCAUCUCAGGAUUCGGUGCUUUCCUCAGACUCAUAGGAGAAGACAAUCGUGGCCGUGUGGAGAUUUUGCACAAAGGGCAAUGGGGCACCAUCUGUGAUGAUUAUUGGGAUGUGAAUGCUGGCAACGUGGUUUGCAAAAUGCUGGGGUUCAAUCGCGCUGUUAAUACCUUCACUGCACCUGCAGGAUCUGGACAAAUCUGGCUGGAUGAUGUGCAAUGUUCAGGAAACGAACUCUCCAUUUAUUUGUGCACAAAACGUGAAUGGGGUGAAAACAACUGCAGUCAUAGUGAAGAUGCUGGGGUUGAGUGUGCUUAAGGCAAUUUUGCAGCACAACCUAUAAAAUAAUAUUGAAAUAAGCAUCUCAGCCUUGUCAUGUGCCUUGGAUGAUGACAGGCAGGGAUAUCCAAAUUGGCAUACAUCAUUUUCUGACAUCUGCUCACCCAGAAAUGAAGAAAGAAGAAGAAUUGGGUUGUAUUAAAGGAGCAAGAAAGAUGUAUUUUCAAGGAAUUGUUUUAUGUAGCAUUUUAUUACUGCUUCCAAAAUAUGUCAUUUUAGCUAGUCUUGGCAAAUGUUGACCUGAAGACAUAUUGGCGGGAUGAAAUGUUGCAAAUGUUGUCUACAGUUUAUUAUUGGCUCAUAAAAUUCAGCAUAAGCUGAAUGCACACAAACACAGAUGGAGUGAAAGAGAGAAAUACCACUGGGCCUCAUAUAGCCAAACUGGAAAAGAGGCCAGUGCCGAGAAGGGGCUUAUCUUGUAUUGGCAGCAAUCCUCUGGACAAUGCUCUACAUCAGUGAUGAAAUUCAA